AUCGGCAGCCAUAUCACCCUGUAGCCCAAGACUGGUUGCCCACUGAAGCUAAGCAGGGCUGAGCCUGGUCAGUACCUGGAUGGGAGACCUCCUGGGAAAACUAGGUUGCUGCUGGAA
rnacentral:rRNA from 1 species